GAGACAAAGAAGGCAUCAAUUCAAACUUCCUUGGACACCUUUUUUAAGAGACCUGGGCCAUCCAAACCAUCCCCCAAAGCCCUUCUAAAUUCUAAGAAGAAAAAGUUGGACUGUCUGAAAAGCCUGGAUCUAUUUAACUGUGAGGUUACUAACCUGAAUGACUACCGAGAGAGUGUCUUCAGGCUUCUGCCCCAGCUCACUUACCUGGAUGGCUAUGACCGAGAGGACCGUGAAGCCCCUGACUCAGAUGCUGAGGUAGAUGGUGUGGAUGAAGAGGAGGAGGAUGAAGAAGGAGAAGAUGAGGAAGACGAGGAGGAUGAGGAUGGUGA